GAAUUCGCAGCGUUGCUGCUAAAUUCCGAACUAACUUGCAGCUCGGUGACUUCAGUGCUGUGUCGUUAAAAUGCUCAGAAUGGAUGCAAAAUGGACAACCUUUGUCGUGCGACAAACGGUAAAUAUGACUCUGCAACAUCUAGGCUUCAAUGAAACGUCCAUCUCCACGUGUUCCCCACCAAUCACCUUAAUAUUAACGAGGCAAAGAUGACCUGCACACUGACUUAAUAAUGUGGUCUACCUCAGCCACAUUUUCUCAACUUAAAUCCAGAAUCCAACUUCAGUGUGGCAUAUUGAAAAGACAACACAACACAGAAGGACAGACACUGGUAAGUUUUUCACUGUGUGGUAGGUAGAACUACAGGUCAAAUGUCAUCCUCUAUGCUGUAGAGAUGCGUAAUUCCCUCAGAGUUGGUCCUUAAAAAUGUCUUAAAUAUCUUAAAAUAUGGGUUUGCCAAUAAAGAAAUGAGACAUUUCUGGCUUUUGUUUCAGCACACUGCUGUCACACCUUUAUUCUGUGCUUUUUUAUUUUGUAUGUAAUCUCAUAACAUACAACUCGAUGUGGUACGGACGUGAUGCAAAGAUGCGUGCUGACUCCAUGGUUAAAGUUGGGGGGGUGGGAAUUUCAACUUGUCCAAAAAGUCUUUAGAGAAGAAUGAUAGGAUUAUUUUUUUGUUUUUUUAAACUAAAUCUCAAAUUUACCUGAAUCCAAACUAUAACACCUAUAUGUUUAGAAUUUUGGUUGACAUAUCAGUCUCACAAUUCUGCAAUUGGCCAUCAGUCCAAAUUGUAGACAGUAUUUUGCCCCAAGUUAACUUGCCUGAACUGCAUGAUACCUGUGGUAUUCAAAAUGGAAGGAUGAAUGGAUGUUGUUUUUCUGCCCAUAGAUGGCAGUAGCAAUGCACAAUAGAGCUGCUCCUUCUCCAUGGAAAAAAAUAGAGCCAUUUUGCUUAACAAGUGCAAAUGUUCCUCGCGAAUUCAACAUCCAAACGCCGGAGUGGGGAGAAAGCAAGUUAAUGUUGGUCAUCUCAUUGGACCCACUUGUCGAGAGACUGUUUUGUUUUGCUGGGUGAACGGGGUCAUUGUGUUUUCAGUGGAAAGCAGCACGUCCACAGAGUGUCUCCAAAUAGAGCCAUAAUUAUUUUCCUCCCGUCUGCAGCUGUUUUUCUCUCUGCUCUCGCAGUCUUGACGUUGCCAGGAAACGCGAGGGAAGUGUAAACCCGGUUUCUGCACUGAAAAUACACAGAGGAUAGUGAAAGGUCCACGCAAGAUGCUCUACUUUCCGUGAGCUCAAGGCUACAAAAUGUAUGCACAGUCAUCUGCGUGAAGUGACUUGUUUGUCAAGUAAAAUAUGGACUGUAGAGUUACAGUUGGAAUGGAAUCUGCUGGCAGUCCGUCUGGAACACUUUCUCCACACAAGUUCACUUCCUUCGUAAACACCGGCCACUUAUUCUAGUAUGUUGGCUGAGUAAAGAUGAAGGAUGCCUGGCAAGCAACUACUGCCUGCCUUCUAAAACGGGAAAGUAGCACAUGAAAAGAAAGGUUGGAAGCAUGUUAGUUUCCCCUAAAAAUUAGAACACAAAGGUGUAUACCUCACUAAUACAUGCAUUGAAAUAUUUCAGCCUGUUUUUAUUUUGAUUACAGCUAAUAAAAAUUGUAAUUUUAACAUCACAAGAAAUUUGAAUAUUGCAGGAAGAACAAAAAUAUUGGUAUUGUAAACAAUAGUGUGAAUGUUUGCUUGUUUUUCUUGGAAAGUAUUUUCCCCAUGUUUCAAGAAUCUACUUCUGUAAUUUUACUGAAAUGUCAUUUUCGAAGGUAUUCCAAUUUACUGGUACUGUGUGAUAGUGAGAUGUUCUCUUCACUGUAGUUCUGUUAGUCCUGUUCAGUUUUUCAUGUCAUAUAGUGGGUUUAAUUUGGUUCAUCCUUAAAUGUAUGCAAAUACUACUUGUAGUUUUGUAACAUCAAAAUAUAGCAAUAAGAAACAACAAAAUAAAUGUACAUUUUAUACUGCA